GCUGAACCUCUCACUUGCUCCCCCCUUACAGUGUUCUCAUUUGAACUUGCUUUCGUCUAUUUUUGACACUCAAAUUGAAAAAAACAAAAAUCAAUGUACAAACUCUGCCUGUGAGCAGCAUCAGUUGACCUUUUAUUCAAGAACCCCUUUUUUUAUGCCAACAAUUUGAUUUGCUAAAUUGCGGAAAUCUUUCUAGUCUUUCGUCUCUUCAUUUUGGAGGAAUUGUUUUCACCAACUGCUGGACAAGAUAUCGGGAAAGUGACUAAGUGGAAUAUGGGGCAAAAGGACGAGAGACAGGAAAAACUUCCAGGGAGGAGGGACUCUGCCUGCAGCGACCGCUUCACUCCGCAUGGGCCACCAUCCCUAUCUGGAUCACUUUUACUACGGUCUCCAUCCAGACUUGCUUCUUCACUUCUUCCUCUUCCUCCUCCUCCUCCCUGUCACCUUUUUGACCUGACUCACUCCUAAAAUGCUUUGCUAAAGCUGGUAAAAUGGAACCAAAUCAACUGUUCAAUGGAUUUGGUCCCCUUCAACCAGCUGUAGCUGUGCAUUGAUCACUCCGAACACACAUGUGAAGAGGGACAAACAAACAGAGAGAGACGCGCUGGACAGACUCGAGCUAAUUCACUGGAAAACAGCUUUAAGAUCUAAAACUGAAACUGCAUUAGUUUCGUCAUGGAAACAAUUGGACUGAGACACAAAAUCAGUCAUCAGUUACUGUGUGGAUUUAUCUCUAUCACACAGAUUACCCAAAAGACACUGAAGUCAUUUGCUAAAGCUGAAUAAAACAAGCCAGGUAAGUAAUUAUAGAUACUGUAUCUUGGUAAAUUUGUAUUUUUGUUGUGUACUGCUAUAAUUGCAUUGUUCUUUGGAGACGUUUUUUAUUGUUCUUUGCAGAUUUUUUUGACUCGUGUGUGUGUGUGUGUGUGUGUGUGUGUGUGUGUGUUAUGUGCAACCAACGUGGAGGUAUGUAUGAGGAGCUAUUGAGUGCAUGAAAAAAUGCUAUGUAAGAAAAACAUUUGUGAUGUGCAUGCAUGUAUGUGUGUGUCUCUGACUCCUAAUGCACAUGUCUGAUCAAUAAAGCCUCAUCAUGGAGUUCAUAUAAA